UACCUUCUAAGAUUUAUUAGCAAUUCGCGGUUAUGUAUAUUCGACACUGAUUACCUUACGCACAAAGAGCAAAUGAGCCGAUAUGAUCAUGCAGUCAUAAUGAACUUUCUGUAUUUCUUGGUGCCAGGUAUUAGUUGUUCGCCUCGAUAUUGGCCUUUGGGCCAAGUGUUGCAAGUGUUGUCGUACGCUCAGUGAAUCAUACGGUCUAGCAAAACAAUUAUGCACUUUGAUAGCACAUUUUGACUGCGUGACAAAGAUA
rnacentral:lncRNA from 1 species